UUUAAGUGCAGUUGUGAGCUUCCCUGUCUAAUGUUUGACAAUCCAUCUUAUUAGAUUAUUUCUAUCAUUAGUAUUUUUAUUGUUAUUAAAUGAUAAAACAUGAAUAGUACUUUAUGUGUGACUUAAUUUUUUAAAAAAAAUCAUAAAAUUUUAAAAUAAAACGGACGGUCAAAUAUUACACACGGAAACCCAUAACUACACUUAAA
rfam:Oryza barthii chromosome 1, whole genome shotgun sequence.